rnacentral:rRNA from 1 species
UGGGGAAUUUUGGACAAUGGGCGAAAGCCUGAUCCAGCAAUGCCGCGUGUGUGAAGAAGGCCUUCGGGUUGUAAAGCACUUUUGUCCGGAAAGAAAUCCUUGGCUCUAAUACAGUCGGGGGAUGACGGUACCGGAAGAAUAAGCACCGGCUAACUACGUGCCAGCAGCCGCGGUAAUACGUAGGGUGCAAGCGUUAAUCGGAAUUACUGGGCGUAAAGCGUGCGCAGGCGGUUUGCUAAGACCGAUGUGAAAUCCCCGGGCUCAACCUGGGAACUGCAUUGGUGACUGGCAGGCUAGAGUAUGGCAGAGGGGGGUAGAAUCCCACGUGUAGCAGUGAAAUGCGUAGAGAUGUGGAGGAAUACCGAUGGCGAAGGCAGCCCCCUGGGCCAAAUACUGACGCUCAUGCACGAAAGCGUGGGGAGCAAACAGGAUUAGAUACCCUGGUAGUCCACGCCCUAAACGAUGUCAACUAGUUGUUGGGAUCAUUCCUUAGUAACGUAGCUAACGCGUGAAGUUGACCGCCUGGGGAGUACGGUCGCAAGAUUAAAACUCAAAGGAAUUGACGGGGUCAUAGCUG